AUUGCCCUAGUAACGGCGAGUGAAGCGGCAACAGCUCAAAUUUGAAAUCUGGCACUUGUGCCCGAGUUGUAAUUUGUAGAGGAUGCUUUUGGCGACGCGCCUUCCGAGUUCCCUGGAACGGGACGCCAUAGAGGGUGAGAGCCCCGUCCGGUCGUGCGCCUAGCCUCUGUAAAGCUCCUUCGACGAGUCGAGUAGUUUGGGAAUGCUGCUCUAAAUGGGAGGUAUACGUCUUCUAAAGCUAAAUACCGGCCAGAGACCGAUAGCGCACAAGUAGAGUGAUCGAAAGAUGAAAAGCACUUUGAAAAGAGGGUUAAAUAGUACGUGAAAUUGCUGAAAGGGAAGCGCUUAUGACCAGACUUGGGCGCGGCGGAUCAUCCGGCGUUCUCGCCGGUGCACUCCACCGCCCCAGGCCAGCAUCAGUUCGCGCCGGGGGACAAAGGCUUCGGGAAUGUGGCUCCCUCGGGAGUGUUAUAGCCCGUUGCGUAAUACCCUGGUGCGGACUGAGGUCCGCGCUCUGCAAGGAUGCUGGCGUAAUGGUCAUCAGUGACCCGUCUUGAAACACGGACCAAGGAGUCGUCUUCGUAUGCGAGUGUUCGGGUGUCAAACCCCUACGCGGAAUGAAAGUGAACGUAGGAGAGAGCUUCGGCGCAUCUCCGACCGAUCCUGAUGUUCUCGGAUGGAUUUGAGUAAGAGCAUACGGGGCCGGACCCGAAAGAAGGUGAACUAUGCCUGUGUAGGGUGAAGCCAGAGGAAACUCUGGUGGAGGCUCGCAGCGGUUCUGACGUGCAAAUCGAUCGUCAAACAUGGGCAUGGGGGCGAAAGACUAAUCGAACCUUCUAGUAGCUGGUUUCCGCCGA
rnacentral:rRNA from 1 species